GUUUUUCCAUAAUUCUGAGUAUUUAUGUUUAUGAUUAGGUUUUCUGGUGUUUUAACCUUCCCUCUUGGUUUGUUUUUGACUACUCUUUUGGACUCUUUUUGCCCUCUUUGGAUUUGUCUGCUUUUUUUGGAUUUCUGACCCCCUGCUUGUUAUUACCUACCUUGCAUCAGGAAUUAAACUUGCACUUGACUCCUGCCCCUCAUGUGAAGCAGUUUGUGACAGAAGACUUUGCCGUAUUAUGGAGUCAGCAAGUUUGGAGGAGUGUAUGAACAAACAGGAACUGCAGUUGAAGGAACUAUGUGGAAUGUUGUAUCAAUUGCUGAACCGCUUGGACCAGCCCAACAUAGCCUCCACAUCUCCAACAGUUCCUCCAGAACAAAACUCCUCCACCCGGGCUAUACCCACCUUGCGUCCUACGGUUUCCAUUGCCCUCCCAGAAAGGCUUUGUCUGUGACUGAGCCUCCUCCCCCGUUUUGAGGUUGACGGUUCUCCGGCCCAUGUAAUCCAUUCUUUGCUGGACUCUAUAAGGCAUGGUGGUCGACUUCAAUACUUGGUGGACUGGGAGGGGUACUGUCCAGAGGAGCGAUCCUGGGUAGCCACGGAGGACAUCCUUGAUCCAUCUCUUUCAGAUUUUCACAGGGAUCAUCCGGACCAUCCUGCUCCCAAGCCCAGAGGUCGAGCACGUCGUAGAUCAUCUUUGGCGCCGCCUGCCAUUCUCCCCCCCACCACAGGAGGUCACCGUCUCCUGAUUACUAGGCAUUUCUUGAUCCUUUCUCUGACCCCCUGCUUGUUAUUACCUACCUUGCAUCAGGAAUUAAACUUGCACUUGACUCCUGC